rnacentral:rRNA from 1 species
AUGCAGAAAGGCAAUCCAGAUGAUAGGAUCAGCAGCUUGCCCAAUGGCAUCCUUGUCAACAUUCUCGACCGACUCGAUGUCCGCGCCGCUGCGAGAACCAGUGUCCUCUCGAGACGGUGGAGUCAGCUGCCUGCCAUGCUCUCGCGGUUUACAAUCAGUGCUUGGGACCUCCUGCCUUCAGAAACUAAAACCAGCUUUUGCAAUGCUGAAUUGGUUCGGACGACCGCUGCAGCUGUGGCCAAAGAUUUGGCCAAUGCAGCAGUGUCCAAUGCUGAAUUGGUUCGGAGGAUCAAUGCAGCUGCGGCCAAAGCCUUGGCCGAUGCAGCAGCUGUAGCCAAAGUUGUGGCCAAUACAGCUGUGGCCAAAGUGACAAAGAGCAUACUGGCACGCAGGGAUCCGGGUGGAUGGCCCAUUCGUCUCUUGAGCAUGACGUUCUACUUGAUAGACGAUGUCCCCAUAUCAGUCGGGCAUGCUGUUGGCAAUGCCAUGGCAACAUGCAAGGUUGAGAAGGCCGAAUUCACUGUUCUGACAGAGAAGGGACGCCUAGAGUGCACCAUUGACGAUUUGGUGAAAUACGGGGCACGGUUUGUGUCAUUUUUUAAUGAGUGUAUGGAUACAUUUGCUGGUCUCACGUGCCUCUACCUGGCGAAUUUGAGAUUUGCUGAAUCAGACUUCGUCUCCAACAUCCUCGUCACUUGCAAGCGAUUAAAACAUUUAGGUUUUCUCAAUUGCGACACAGAGAAUUGGAUAGCGUUCCAAAUUGAACACGCAGAACUCAGUGAGCUCAGUAUUGUCAAUUGCCGUUUUGACGUGGUCAAACUCGACUGGGUUCCGAAGCUCACUUGGUUGGUGUUUGAGUUUUGGAUGUCUUUCAAAGAACCACCACUGUCAUUUGGCUAUGUCCCAUUGCUCAAUGUUCUGAGUGUUUCAAAUGUUGCUCUUAGUUGGCAUGAAAUGGUCGAGUUAAGUACAUUUCUUCAUGAGACCUCUGUUCGAGACCUGAGCUUGGGGUUUAAAUGCGAAAAGAUUUGGGUUCAACCAGAGUGUCUGACCAGAUGGCUGGCAUCUGUGUUUCACCAACUAAGGAUUGUCAAUCUUGUUGACAUUCCUGAAGGGUAUGAUCUCACCUGGACAAUGUUUAUUCUGGAAGCGGCGCCGUCCCUGGAGGAGUUCUACAUGACGGUAAUGGAUCAUCCUUGUGGCAUGCAAAUGGAUCAGGAGAAGAGGAAGGCGAAGUCGUACAGCGAGCACAAGGGUGUUGAGUGGGAAUCACCUACAUCAAAUUUCAAGCACCACCGCCUGACCAAACUAAUCAUCUUCUGUUUUCAGUCUGAAGACUACAUGGUGAGUCAUGUCAGGCGUGUCUUGAAAGCGGUGGUGAAUCUAGGGGAUGUGUACCUAUAUGAUAGACUGACAUGCAGCAAGUGCCGAGGCGUGGAACCUCUAAAUCCGAUAAGGUUCCCGGAGACAAGUAAGCACAUGUGUUGGGUGGAGAAGCAAAUCAGAAGGGGUAUCGAAUCACUUGCCACAAUCCACUUCCUGACUACUGCUAAAAUAAGGGAGGAUCAUGUUUCAAGGAUAGGGUAG